UACGUAGGGUGCAAGCGUUGUCCGGAAUUAUUGGGCGUAAAGAGCUCGUAGGCGGCUUGUCGCGUCGUUCGUGAAAACUUGGGGCUCAACCCCAAGCUUGCGGUCGAUACGGGCAGGCUAGAGUUCGGUAGGGGAGACUGGAAUUCCUGGUGUAGCGGUGAAAUGCGCAGAUAUCAGGAGGAACACCGGUGGCGAAGGCGGGUCUCUGGGCCGAUACUGACGCUGAGGAGCGAAAGCGUGGGGGAGCGAACAGG
rnacentral:rRNA from 1 species